CUUUUUUUUUUUUUUUUUUUUUGAUGGUUUGGUUUACGCACUUGGCCUAAGCAUAAUAAUGUUUGCUCAAGUUGAGGAGAUUGAAUUUUCUUAAAACUAAACAACGUACAAGAAAAUGUGUCAUUUUUCUACCGUCGCCGUUGAGCUUGAGGAUUAUGAAUAAUUACAAACACUAUCCCAAAAUCUAUUUGUCAAGCUGAAAAGGCUAUGUAGGUUUUCCUGUUUCCUGAAACAAGUACCACGUUAAUUGAAAAGGAUAACUGGACAUAUAGCAAUAAAUUCCAUAGCAGAUUGAAUCAAAAUGACUGAAGCACAAGAAAUAAACAAGGGUGUCCAUAAUACAACAGCAGAGAUGCAACAUGUGAAAUGUCAACAAAAAGCUUCUGUGUGCUUUUGUGUCCUUUAAUUGUAUCUGCAUCCUAUCUUCAUAGAUGUAUCUAGUAGUCAAGAAACAUAUAAGCAGUCGGCAAUGUUAUGGCCACGACAUGGUCAGCAGGCACCUGACUAAAGAUAUUUUAUUUGCUGUGUUUUCUACGGUAUACUCAGCGGUCAAGGCAGAAACAGUCAUAAUUGUUGACAUGUUUUAAACCAAGCAACAUUUGAAAAUUUAUUUAGUAGAUUUAGAAAUAUAUUUUUUAUUUGGUAACUAUAAUAUUAGGUUUGGUGUCGCAGUUGGUUUAAAAAAUAGGUUGAGCCGUGUUUAUGUAUUAUAAUUAGAAUAUGAUUUGUGGCUAUGUUUCGGGAAAUUCCGUUGAGUGAUUUUUUGUGCUAACAAUAAUGACUGAGAAAUUAGAGUCUCAAAAUUGACAUAGAAUUAUCAGCUUAAUAGAAACCAGUUACCAAGCAAUGAGCAGAACUUUCUUACCUCAACUACUUUAUUACAUCAUAAAAGCAAGGAAAUGUAAAAAUCAACAAGGGAUGUCUAAAUGAAUGACAAAGAUAAUAUCAUAAAAUUACAACAACAGCAGAUGAAAUCUAGGUUGCAAUUCAUCUAGGUUGCAGCUUUGCAAGUUGCAAGUCUUGUUCAUGUCAUGCUCGUAUUUAUGGCAUACCAACAUCAGCAAGAGGCGUAGAAGAUAUUUUAGUAUACUCAACUUCCCCUUGUAGUUCAAUCUCUUCACCAUGCUUCUUCUUGCACUGGAAAUAUAGGACUGUAUACCCCACAAAUUGUGACAGUCUUAAUAAACACGAGACAUUCACAAGAAACAAUCCGAAAAUUGUCUGAUUUACCAGCCAUUUGUGUCCUCUAAUAAUCCUGAAUCCUUGAAAUACAACCACAGAUAGCAGAGCAAACAUCAUAUUCAGAACGAAUCCCUGAAUCUUCAUUCCCUGAAUCAGAUCCCCCGCUUUUCCCAGUGCCUGAAUCCCGUAACAAUCUUCUUCAAUCACCGAAGUCACUAUGCCCAAAAUCCAGGUGAUCGAUAGGUACAGAUAAACGAUGUAGGCAGCAAUUCCCACCAAGUAAAUGGUGAAGAAGACCUCCUCCAUGGAAUUACUAAAGAACAUCAUGACAGGGCUAGCCACGAACAGAACCAAAAAUAUAUAGCCAAUAUCAAGAAGAGUUGUGUAAAACCCAGUGAUCAACGGCCUUUUCCAGGAUCUAAGUACUAGGAGAGCGAAAUCCUUGUUGCUUAAUGUCCUCUCAGUAUGCGAAAUGGUGGAUACUAGAAUUGUCGCAAUUAUCGACAAGAGGGAGAUGAUAUAGUAGCCAAGAAUGAAAGUAAGAUCAACAACCAGCAUAAGGCCGAAAUCUUCUUUGAGAUGGGCGAGAAUGCUGGAGAAUUCUGCGCUGUUGGCGCUGGUAAGAGGUAACAUAGACUCCCUCAUGAGCAUAUCGCGAAGUAAUGAUUUGUAGGAGAAGUUGAAAACCAAGAAGAAGAGGGAGGAAAAGAGAAGAGUCGGUAGAAUUGUUAAGGCUACGAGCUUCCCAUUCUUCGGAAGAAGUUUAAUUGACUCUUGCAAAACCAUCACAGCAGCACCAAUAGGCUGUAAAAACUCCAUUGCUGGUUCUCUUCCAAGGACUAAAAAUUUUCUUGACAAACUCUGCUUAGCUUUUGUGACUUGCAAGGCAUAAACAACUCUUUCGUCUUCUGGUCGUCGUCUGGCUUUGGGAUAGUAUUAUAUACUACUACCAAAUUCAAGUAGAAUAAGUCCUCCCGCAAUGGUUGAGACUUUUUUCGCGGAAAGGGAGUUUAAGUUCCACCCUCGGUUUUAUAAGACCGGUGACAACUAUGGAGGGAAGACUGGGUGUGAUUGAGAAUAGGUAAUAUUCGUCGAUAAUAUUGAGACUGGUUGUAAUCAGAACCAGAAAGUCUACACAAAACAUUAAUAUUCGUCGAUAAAAGAUUGAAAUCUUUCAUCUCGUUCUAUUUGUUUGGGAUAAAAAUGCUUGGGAACCGUAAAGUAUUUUAAUACUUAACUUUUGAUCUCUCAUCUAUUUUGAGUCUUAAAUUAGUCCCUCAAUAAUAAAAAAGCGUCUAAUUUUGAUACUUCAGUCCAUUUUCACCAUCAGAUCUGUCAAAAUUUUGCCCCUAUAUCUAUCAACUUAAACGGUGAGGAUGACAAAAGGAUCAAAAUUUAAUACCCUUUUUUUUUAUUGUUAACGGAUGAAUUGAAGACUUGAAAUAGAUAAUGAGCCAAAAAUCAAUAAUUAGAAUAAUUUAGAAACUCUUUAGAUAGCUUCUUACCCUAUUUGUUUGACAGGGUCUACCCUUCCAUGAAACGCAAAUCACAAAAAAAAAAAAAAUCAAGAUACCAACCAAUUAUGCCUUGCGAGUAGGGCGAGUUAGAAUUUCCAACUUUUGUGUAAAGGUCAAGAUUGUGCCAAAACCAUAGAAGGAGAAUUCAAUGCUCUGUUUCAAGAGGAUAUAGAAUAAUUUCAAAAACCUCCCCUUAGAGUUCUAAAAGUUUCACCGAGUUCCCCAAAGGUUUUCAAUAUUACACCCCCUAUUUUUUUUUCCAAGUAAAAUUGCAAAACUUUAUUGAUAGAGAACUGAAACAUAUGCAAAGUAGCAUAUACUACAACCCCACCGUUGAAGUAACAAAACAUUAUAUGUGUAUAAUGAAUCCCCUAAAAUGGCAUUAAGUUUUUUUAACAGAAAAAUAAAAUAAAAUAAAAGAAAAACCCAUACCCACUAACAUUGAACUUCCCUUCCAGGCUUCCACCACCCAAAGCUACUUCCGUCUCUUUCCCUAUGCUCUUCCUUUCUUCAUUUUGCCCUCCCCCUAAUGGUGGUACAAAUUUCAAUGGGCGUUGAAGUAGCUAGCUCAAUGGUCAGUAGCACGCUGAGGCACAAGGAUUAAAUCAGCUCAUGUCAUCUCAUUUACAAGCUGAGCUAUCAAGAAUGCCCUGUUUCAUUCCAAUUUCACAUAAGAUGCACAAAUGUUUGAUGAUUUUUCCUCUCCAACAUAUAUUAGGUACGUAGAAAAGUCAGCCUACUGUAUGAUUAGAGACAUUAUGCACAGCUUACAAUCUGGAAACAUAAUAAUGUUCACCACUGCCAGAAGUUCGUCUCACUUCCAGGUUCCAGCCACUCAGUUGGCCGCAAGAUGCUGCCUGGGAAAAUUAGUCUAAAUUCAGCAACCACCGUCAACAAAAUAACACACCAUACCAUGCAGCAAGAACAGGCAUAAACUACUCUAGUACUCUUGCCUCCUCAAAUAUUAUCAAGAGGUGAUCCGGUGAUUAUUUCCGAACUCUGGAGAACAAAUUAUUAUCACCAAUUUGUCAUUCAAAAUAAACCAUCAUUAGCAACCUUUGCUGACACUCCAGUUCUGUUUCUCUGCUUCGCUGAGUCACUUGCACUUCCCUGUCACCCUAAGGGCACCAAUUUAUGGUCGACAAUUUUUAAGCUCCCACCAGACUGGGACUUCAUUUUUAAUAAACUACAUGAUGCCAAAACAGUACUUAGAACAUAGUAAUUAAAAGUACCUGAUCUAACCAACACCUAGAAUACAAACUAACCACAGAAUAUUCGAAGCACCUCCGGACCUACUGUCAGAUAAUUGACAUGAGCCACUGGAACAGAAAAGGGACCAGAAUUCAGUUCAUUCAUAUGGUCAAUUUUGGUGUUAAUUGUAAUAAACCUCUCGGUUUAACACUUUAACCUCCUUUACCUAAAAUUGAUCAAAUAUAAUUUUUUUUUGUACCUUCAAUAAAUUGCAAGAGUUGUAAAACACUAAAAGCAUUUAAUCAAGCUCAGAACUUGUACUGAUAUACCUAAAUGGCCAAAACAAGGAGGAGUUAUUUAAAAUCAAAUUGAUCAAACUAUCCUCCAGAGAAGUAUUUAGAUACAAAGCUAAACAUAACAAGAGUAGAUCUUAAAAAAAAAAAAAAAAACACUAUGCUAAGUUGCUAACUAAAAUUACCCACUUAAGCAGCUCAGCAAAAAGCCUCUCUUAUAUAUUUCUUCUUCACGUACCUUAAUUAUUUCCUUCAUUAAAAUCCAAAAUUCCAGCAUUGCCAUCUUCAGGCCCCAACAGGCCACCAAAACUUCCCGUCAUCAUCACUGUCUCUUGACCUGGAAGCCCCAGAAUGGAGCUGAACCCGUGUUCGACAAACAGGGCAGUUGGGCUUUUUCGUAAGCCAAUUAUCCACACAAUUCAGGUGAAAUAAAUGGUUACAAUCCGGCAGCUUCCGGCUAAGCUCUCCCUCCUUGAAACCCUCCAAGCAAAUUGCACAAUCCAUUGUGGUCUGUUCUGAUGCAGAGUAGUUAAGGUGCGGGAGGAGGUCAUAGAGGUCUUGCAUGGAAUAUAAUGAGGAGGUGCGGGAAAAAGAUCGGCGGGUUUGCCGGCGUCGGCGGUGGCGGUGGACCGCUGUGGUUGUGAGGAGGAUGUGAAGGAGGACCAGGGCAGCGAAGCCUACAAAGAUCAGUAACAAAGACAGGAUGAAUGUCAUGAUGAUCCAUUUGAGGAAGAGAAAAAGGAGCUUUCUUGGGGCUGAAUCCAUCUUUCGUUUUCGAUUUUGAUGCAAUUGAUGAGGUGGCGCCGCUGGUGAUUGAGGGUCGUUCUGGCCAUGUUCAUGGGGGCGCCGGUGGUAGUUUCCUGAGAUUUCUUGGAUGAUUGGCAUGUGGUGUUGGAAUUUGUGAAUUCCUCAAUUCAAGAUUUUAGAAAUUCAGAACAAAUAAAGUUCGUGACACCUAUAUAUUUGUUGGUCUAUAAAUAUGCAGGAGGAGAAAUGGAAACGGAGGUUUUUUAAAUGGAAUGAAGUGAGAUGAGAAGAAAAGAGCUGGAAUCUUAGAGAUUAUUCAAGAGCAAAGGCCCCGUCGGUUUGUUUUGGGUUUUCUAGGCAUUUUCUUUUUUGUUCUAGGAUGGGGGUUUUUUUAUUCCUUAAAUUGGUAUGUCAUAAGGUACAACCAGUAAUGAACGAAGUACUAUUUGAUCUGCAGUGGACAGAGCAUGGUAGGUUAUACAAUUGUUUGGUCAAAAAGGUCGAAGACUUGUUUGGUUUAGGAUUAGAAAUAAUCAUAGGAUUCCGCAAAUCUUUAAUAAUAUCUUUACCCCACUAAUACAAAAGUUGAUUUGAGCCUUAAAAUCAUUCAAGUGCUUUGCUGUGAAAGUUAUCUGGGCACCAAAUGUACUUUUCCAGAUAGGAUGGCAAAAUGGAAGAGCUUUCCAGGCGUUCAAUCCGAGGAGGUAAAUAGUACCAUCCUUUACAAUUCAUCAAUUCGUAACAGUACUCUGUGAUUUGUAAAAAUGGUAACUUGUCGUCGUGCCACCACAGGCAAUUGAAAAUCAGCUUCACAUGCGAACCACCAAAAAAAGGAAAAAGAAAAAGUAUGGUUCAUUACUCAUUCAUUACCUCUUAAUGAUGAAAUUCUUGAGAACCACGCAGUCACGCACACAAAAAAAAAAAAAGGUAUUGCUCGUUACUCUCAUUCAUUACCUCGUAAUGAUGAAAUUUCGAGAAUAAGUUGAGCUGUAAAUCUUGAAUUUAUUAUCAGAAGCAAUCGGCCAAAAAACUAAUAAGCCUCUUGAUUAGUUUCAGCAUACAUCAAUUAAUUUGUUUUUUUUUUUUGGUUUUUGGUUUUUGGCCAUAUCAUCCCCCACCCCUUUUAAUACUAUCAAGUUUCAACGAACUGUAUGGCAGUUCCAGCUUCUCAGGCCUAAAAUUGUUGAAGUUUGUUUUUCUUUCUUUCUUUUUUGUUUUUUCAUCAGAUGCUUGUCGGAUUUGAUGAACACGGUUCGAGAAAAUGUUUGCCAAGCAAACACUCAACUAGUACGCUGAUUCGUAGCUGCUGGUUUCUUUAACUGACGCGUCAAGUUGCAGCCCGUUGUUUCCUGGUUGCCAGGGAUAUGGAUGCGGAUGAGGAUGGAGCAUUCACGAGAAAGCGGAAAAGACAUCUGCGGGAUUGGAAUAAAUACGUACACAUGGUAACAGUUGUAGGUUGUUUCUUUCCGCCCUUUCAUUGCCGUCGCAAGUCCCGAAGCUGUGGAUGUGAUAGCUAAUUUGUCUGUUUUUUUUUUUUUUUUUUUUUUGGUCAAUCGUCAACCCUACUCCUAUUUCUACUCUAUUCUAACCCCAUAGACCCAACUGGACCUAUGGGGGGACCGAUGGGGACAGAACCACCACCAGACCAGAUGGGUGCACCACGCACCCAUCUGGAUUUUUUGAAGAACCACAACUGUGGCAAAUUGGUGGGAGGCAAGGUUCGAACCCUUGCCUCCCACCCCACCAAAGCCUUAAAGGCUUGGUGGUGGCCAUCAGCCUAAGGCUGAUGGUUAACUAAUUUGUCUGUUUACUGGAUAGAAAAUUUGCAUGUCCGCUAGAAGAAAUUUAACGUUCAUACAAAACGCACUCGGAUAGAGCCCAUGGUAGUAUUCCAAUUUUUCACAUGAUAUAGAUUUUGUUUCAUUAUCAGAAAAUUGAACUUUUAUACUAAUUCAAGAAAAAAAAAACAAAAGAACGAAAAAUGACUAUUAUUUUGGGAUUGAGAGAGACAGUUCAUUUCGAAAUGGAAGGCGAGUUUAUGGUAUUAAAAAAAAAAUGCUCAAGUAAACGUGGUGGUUUACGGUCGCAUUUACAUCGAAUAUGUAAUAGUUGUAUUUUUUUUUGAGAUAAAAUAGAAGCUAGUAUUAUUAAUAAACUAGUCAGAAAUCGUAUAAAUUAAUGUCAAAAAAUAUAUAAAACAUGGCAUACAAAUCUAUAACUGUAGUUUUGUUUUAUCAUCUAUUGUAUACUAUAACUUUUCUUCCAUCAUAAUAUAUUUUCAGUUUUUCAUAACUCUAUAGCUCACAUAGUGGAGCACAUAAACCUAGUCUAUCUAGCCCAUGUAAAUGGUUACUAUUGUAUAUUCUUGGUUCAAAAAGUUGCCAUCAUCCUUUCUUGGACGUACGUGAUAUAUAUGAUGAUACAACAUUUGAUUUCAAAAAAGUUGCGUUCUUUUCAUGGACGGAUAUUUUAAUCAAACAAAUGUCGGGUGUACUUAGACUUCGGACAUCUUAAGGUGUUUGACGUUUAUGCAUGAAAAAGAGAUUCUUAAAUGUCGUGUCAUGGUCAAUUUAGUCCUCCACCCAGUGAAAGCAGGAGUGAGAAAAAUAGGAAAUGUUUAUCCUUCCCUUGUUUAUAUUAUCUUAGUUGGACGUGAAGCUGAAUAUGAAUCCACUACUCCAAGAUGAUCUCACAAACUCACGGCUCACAAGGGUUCAAGUUGGCUUUUCCUGAUGAUUUGUUAGAUGAUUAUUAAUUUAGUCCUUAAAUACCAUUGGGCUUCAUUUUUUAAUCCGUUUGUCAUGGAAGUUCAAGGAUGUUUGAUUUGAUGUCCUAACUUCAAGCCCAAUCGAAAGUUGUUGGGUCAGCUUCCGCCUGAAAUCUAUCCACGCUUUAAAUGGAGUUGGCAAAAUGUUCUUGUCCAAAUAUAUAACAACAACUACUGCAGAAAGAUAUGCAUCACCUUCCCCGAGAAUGAAUUCUUUGUUCAAAAAUUAGGAAUCUAUCAUAGAGUAGAGAUCCAGAAUAUAAAAACAGUGAUAGCAUUUUAAUAUAAAUCAAUCUUUGAAUUUAAUCUUAAUCUCAUUCAAAAACUUUAGAUAUACAUAUCCCAUGAAAGGUGAACACUGUUCUGAUCUCUUAAUCUCACGCGUUUAGGUUGCGUUUGUGAUGUUUAAAAUCACAGCGUUGGGGACUAUAGUCCUAAAACUUGACACAUUGUACAGCAAAAAGAGUCUGUUAGUCUAACAGGCGUUCAAUAUCCAUUGGGCACUCGUAAAAAUACAUUUUCAGUGUCAUAUUUUUAAAAAUAUUAGAUUAAUUAGGGAAAGUAAAUUAAUAUAAGGAAUGGUGGGUAAGAUUAAAUAGAAAAAGUGCAUAAAUGUAAGAAAUAAUUGUUAGUUUUAGAGAAUAUCCUCGAGCUUAUGUAUAUUUUGUUUUAUUUCAUAGCAUUAGACCUUUUCCCUAACAUAGAAUUGUUGUUUGAUCCAUAUUGGUGAACCUUCUCUCCUAUAAAAGAUUAAAAGGGGAUCAUCUGCUGUGUCUCAGUUACAUUUCACAUUCGAGUAAAUUGGUAUAGAAGAAUAAUGGCAACAAUAAAUCAAAUAUUCUUGUUCAUAGGGAUAUUGGUGAGCCUUGUUCUUGCUGCACAUGCGGAUUGUGGCUCUCCCACUUGCUACACUCUGUUUAACCGUAAGUGUUUGUAAACAAUUACAUGAAAUUCAUCAUUAAAGCUAAAAUGCAGAAGGAAAGUUUAACCUUUUAAUUUUUUUUUAAACUCCAUGUGACCUAUAUCUAUCAGGUUUUCUUACAUUACUACAAGUAGGCAUGUCAAUGGGUAGGGUCUGGGUUGGAUCUCUUUGAUCCAAUUCUAGAUCCAUUUAAUUUAGUUAAACCCAGACUCAGAUCUAGAUCCUUGUAGAUCUGAAAAAGUAAAUCCAUGUCCAAACUCUCAUUGAUUUAGGUAUCCAAUGGGUAUCCAUGGAUAUUUUCUGAACACACUAAAGUAAAAAUGUAUAAAAAAAUGUAUAGAGUUCAUAUAUAAUAUAAAUACCAUCCAAUUUUUGUUUUCAAAUAAUAAAAAUAACAUUCAAUAAGUUGAAUGCAAUAUUAUGAACUCAAAGAAAAAACUAUUAUUAACUACUUCUGUAUAUUUUCAAAAAUUUAACUGCAUUCACAUCCAAAAUUUUCAUUUAUUUGCCUUUACCUUUUCUCCUUUUCCUGAAAAAGUUUGCAUCAAUUACAAUGACAACUACAAUUAGUUUUUAAAAAAGAAAACAAUAAUAACAUAUAUAAAUAUUCAACAUUAUUAAAAAAAUGUAAUUUUGUGGAACUAAUUAGUGUUUUAUUAGGUUAAGAACGUAUCAUUUAAUCUAACAGUCAUGAAAUCUUACAUUAAAUGACCAUAGAAUAUUAGAUUAUUUUAUAAACUUACUAAUAUAUAUUAUUUAAUUAAAUAUACAUGAGUUUGGAUAGGGUCUGAUAUGAGUUUGGAUUUAGAUAUGGAUUUUAGAAACCCAGAUUCUACCCAGACCCAUGACUCUCUCACAGGGUUUGGGUCUGAUAGAAUCUGAAUUUGAAAAAUUAAAUCUAAACCCUACCAAAAUGUAUUGGAUAUGGGUAUAACUCGACCCAUGGACAUGCCUAAUUACAAGCUUGACCUCCUUUGAUUAUUUCACCUAAUUAUUCAUUUUGAUUUGAAUAAUCAGUGCUUUUUGAUGUUCUCGCUUACUUUUACAUCUAAAUUUUUAUUUUUACAUAGUUAAAAAAACACAUUUUUAGAAUUUAUCAAAGAGUAGUUUUAGCUGAUUCUGAUUAAUUCCCUGUAAUCACUUCCUAUAAUCAACUUAUCUAAAAUGUACAACAGAAAAGAACAAGCCCUACGUUCGAAAACAUGAGAUUAAGAAACCUGAAAUGAUCAAAACGAAAUUUGUUUUUGCAGCUUCAGCGUGUUGUGGGUAUGACGCCCCAACUGGUCUGAUUGCUUCUGCUAGUCCUGAAAAAUGGGAAAAUCGUGCUGCCUGUGGCAAAAGAUAUCGCAUAACUUGCACUACUGGAACCAAUCUAGGCGUGCCAGAGCCAUGCAGUGGUCAGUAAGAGUGUUGAAGUUACAGUACAGUAGUUGAUUUCUGUCCUGGUUGUCCAGCCACAUUUGAUCUCAGUCCAGAUGCAUUUGCCGUCAUUGCAGCUGUUGAUGAGGGGCGUACCCUGAUUGAAUACGAUCAGUAAGUCCAUUUACAGUAGAGGUGGCAAAAUGGGCGGAUGGGCGGGAUUUGCUUGGAUUUGAGAUGAAACCGAGUCAUAUGGGUUUGGGCCCAACCUUAUCCAUAUGUGUUUUGGGACUAACUUGGGCGGGAUUACUUUGGGAUGGGUUUAGAUUGAUCCCGCCCAAUACCCAAAUCUAUUUUCUACAUAUUUUUUUCCUUUAAUUCAUUUUUUAUUUUUUAUAUAACUUUAAUAUUUUUUAUUUAUUAAAUUUCUUUUAGUUUUAUUAAAUAAACAUACAAGUGCUUUAUAUUCAGGAUUUCCACCAAAAUUUGGAUUAACAAAUAAAGGAAAAGAUAGAUAUACAGCCAUAUUCCAACAUAUAUUAAGAUGGCCAAGGCACUUAGGGUGUUGAAUAUUUAUCCUCAUCAUUGUCCAAGGAUGACAGGGCUAAACUGACUGAAAUGUUGGAAAUUCUUGUGGAUAAUGAUUAGGAAGACUGCUAGAUUAUAUUCGCUAGUAUGACUAUAAAAAUUGUUAAAGAUAAUUUUUGAAUCUAAGACUCUGUUUGGAUUGGCUAUUUUUUCAAAAAAUAAAAUUUUCAAAUACAAUGUUACAGUAAUAUACAAUAACUCAAAAAACAUCCCAUCCACAUUAGUAUAUCAAAUAUUUAAAAAAAAAUUAUAGUAAAAUUUUUUCAUAGACACUGUUACAAUAAAAUAUUUCAAAAAUACCCCCAAAAACAGCUAAUCCAAACGGAGCCCUUGCUAUUUGAGCCCAAUGGGUACCCAAGUAUUUUCCAAAAUUUCCCAUCAAUUAAUGAGUAUAAUUGGGAUUUGUCCCAUUUUAAACCCAAUAUCAAAUUCCAAUACCCAACCCGCCCAAAGUCCCCAUGGGCAUGGGUAACCCAUUGGGACUUGGGACAAAUUGCCACCUCUAAUUUACAGUUAUUAAUUUUAUGUGGAUUAGAUUACGGAAUUAUAAUCUCGUUUAUCCCCUUCAUUCUUCAUCUUUGUUUUGCUAAUUGCAGAGUUUGAAACCUCCUACAAGCAUCAAAUGAUGAGGAUCGAAGUCAGAAGUCGAUGAUCAUAUGUCGAAGAUUCAACAAAAGUAGUAUAAGAUCAACUACAUGGAAACUGGGAACUUCUUUUAUUCUGUGUGGCAGCAUUUUUUUUUUCUUUUUUAAUGCUCUUUUGCAGUAUUGAAUUCUUUUUUUCCCACACGAUACAGUUAUUUGUGUGGGGAAAAAAAUUCCAAUAGUGACAUCAUGGAGGUAGAUAGGGUUGAUAUCAUCUGGGAGUCGAGGUUGGCUGCCUAAUUAUGGUAUUGAGAAACUGGGUCUCCGACGGCGCAAGGAGAUAAAUAUUAUUCAAUAAAUGCUACACCAUGUCCAGGAGGAAAUUGAGGAAAGUAGUCCAAGGUUGCCACAGGCAGAUAUUUCCCCCUUUUUUUUCCUUCCCAGAAAAAGAAGCACACGACCUAAAUUAUUCUAAUUCGAGAAAAAUUUCUUUGUAUAUUUCAUCUUCCUCAAUUGCCUGUUUUUUUUUUUUUUGGGUUCUCGAAAGUUAUGAAAAUCAGAAACCAACAAUUAACUCAAGAAUCAAACAUAAAUAAAAUAAAAACAAUCGACACAGCAAAUUGUCAUUAGGGUUCUACAUUUCCGUGAUAGAUUACCACUUACUUGGGAUUUCUGUUGUACAAUAGGCGAUUACUUCUCUUAAUUGAGCACUGGAAAUGGGAUAAUACCGUGCAUUAGACGCUUAAGUCCUUAAAAAUUUUGGUCCCUCUUAGCUGUAGCCUGGCCAGAAAGAAAUUCUUAGUCCUUUGGUAUUUAAGAAACUUAAGCAAUGGAUGGAAGAUACUUUUAACAUGUUAAUUAUCUACAUCAGAUUAAUAUUUUUUUUAGUUUUUCCUUAUAAAAGCAAAAUACCUUGGAAGUAACAAGAAUUUGACAUAGACGCUUACUCGUUUAUCAAGUGAAUCUAACAAAAUUAUACUGGUUAAUGACUUGAGGUCCCUUAACUAUUUGCUCAGUGUCACUCUAGCCCCCAAGUUUUAGUGGUAACUCUAUGUUUAGACCUUCAAUCUUGAAGGGGAAAAAAAAUAGGAAAUCCAUAUACAAGAAAAUUAGAUUGUUGUCUAUUAUGGGCUUCAUUUUAACGUUUUUCUUUCUUAAUUAGAGUAGCUAAUAUGUCUGUUCUAUUUUUCUCCUCACAAACUUGGAGUGGAACCAUGUUGAAAAAAUCAGAUACUAUUGCUCAAAAAAUAAAAAAUACGACAAUUAAGAGGGUUUGUUCACCACAGUAAUAGUAAACCAAAAGUUCAGGGACCAUUUGGAGUCCCUAACCAAAAUUUUAUAGACUUAGGCCACAGCCAAUCCUUUGCAACGUUUCAUCUAUAAAAGGUACAAACCUCGCCUGGUUUGCUCAUCAACCUAAAACUCAAAGAGUGAAUUGUUUCAAUUUAUAUGAUGCUUUUCGGAGAGGAGAGAAUGGGAGCCACAAUGCGAGUUGUUAUGAUGAUUGGGAUGGUGGCAAGUCUUGUUUCCAUUGCUCAUGCAGCUACGGGAACGGCCACUUUCUACACACCACCUUAUGUUCGUAAGUUUUCUGUAAACUGCUCUAUAUGUUCAUUAUUCAUAGCCAAAGAUCUAGCAAUGCUGAAGAGAAUACGUUUCGUAGCCAACGAAGUUCUAGCUAUUCUCAGGAGAUGGAUUACUUCAAAUAACUGUGCAAGUCACUUGCAAUUUUAUAGAAAGAUUUCACUAAACAUUUGCAAGCUCAGAACGUUGAAAACGGAAGCAACUGUAAUAUAUCCUCAGCUGUUACGAGUCAUGGAAGCAUUCCAUUGGCAUUGCUGCAUUUGUUAUCUGCCUUAUUAAAGCAUGACCUUAAUCCACAUGACCUAUGUUAAAUCUCGUUCAUCGCUUCUUUCUUAAACCAGCCUCUUCUUGCUAUGGCUACCAAAACAAUGGGGUGAUGAUUGCUGCUGCAAGUGACACAAUAUGGAACAAUAGGAAAGCUUGUGGGAAAACGUGCACUGUUAGAUGCACGGGACCGACAAGCCAGGGGAUCCCACAGCCAUGCAGGGGUAGUGUUGUGGUUAAAAUUGUUGAUUACUGUCCUCCCGGUUGUGCUGGAACCAUUGAUCUCUCCAAAGAAGCAUUUUCCAAAAUUGCAAAUCCAGAUGCUGGAAAAGUUAAAAUCGAAUAUAACUGGUAAGCCUCUUAUAUAUCUUGGCAAAAUUUCUCUUCAGAUAACCAUGCAGUAUUUUUUUUUUUUAAUAAUACAUAUCUUUAUUAUUAUUUUUUUGACUUUUUCAGCGUUUAAACUUUUGAUUGGAAUCAGAAAGCUCCCAGAAGUCCAAUAAAUGAUGUUUAGAAAUAAGUAGCUUCUCUGUGGGAUUUUAUAUGGUACAAGAUUUAUGUAUGAGCUACUACUGAGUAGCAUAUAUGUGUCAAAAUAUAAUAACCAGCAAAAAGCUGUCGAAGCUGUUUGGUGCAUUAUAUAAACCAGGCAAUAUUAUUCCCUUCUCCUACAAAUUGUAUGCGUUAGUAACAUAAAGAGAUAGUAAAUUCUUUCUAUCUGCCUAUCUAGAAUUGCAGCAAGAAAGGAGAAUUCAACUCAUCUUCUUAAAGUAGGAGCCAGACUUUCACCUGACUUCAUCUUAAAUCAAAGGGAUGGUGAUAAAACAAUUUUUUUUUUUUAAAAAAAAAGGGAAAAGAGCAAAGUCAGGGAGGAAGAUGUGUUUGAUUUGAUAUCCUGUUCGUGGCUGCUAUACCGUAACUCUAUAAGGCCAAAUUGUCCAAUUUCCAUGUCUCUUCUCAAGUCCUACAGUACUUGUUCUCACUUUGACUGUAAAAGGAAGAUAGUGUAGAUUGGUGAAUCAAAUAAAUUAAAUUAAUUUCAGUAGAGUAGAUUGGUUCAAUGGUUUGGUGCUGCUUGUUAAAUGUACAAAGAAAAAACAGUACAAAUUAACAGAUUGAAAAUAUCCACAAAAGCAUCAAGGGUAUAGAACUUUGACCAAUCACAUAAAUUAAUUGCAGUUGAAUUGGCACCAACAGAUAUUUCCCCUUCAAUCAUCCCAGAGCGGCCUUUUUUUGACAAAAAUUACGUACGUCGACAAUUAAUGUUGAUGAAAAUAAUUAAUGCUGGUCGACGCCCAAAUCACAAUUGACGAAACUCAUCCAUGAUUUAAUUCAUUAUCAUAUAUAUAUAUAUAUAUAUAGCAAUGACCUUCUCAUAAGCACAACUUAAUAUCAUCAGCAAAAUUAAGCUGAAGCAACACAACGGAACAAACAAUCAAACUUUAUGACAGAUUUUUCAUACACAACUAUUAUUAAAGACUUUGUUAUAGCUUUUAAGGUUAUGCAACAGAAGGGGCUUGGUUCAUUAUUUCCGGGUCAGUGCGUUAACCUGAAACUUGUUCUCGAGCAUUUUUUUUUUUAAAUCUUUUCCUUGCAUUCCAUUGACGGGUCUCAUCCCCCUUUACAGUUUUCCAUGAAAAUUACGGACAUAUAUACUAUACAGCUUGAAAUGAUAAUUACUCCUAUUAAAUAUCUUUAAUUAUUGUCAUGUAUAAAAAAUAAUUUACUAAAUUGAUAAGGACAUGGAGUGAUUAAAAAAGUCACUAAUAAUCAAGUUUACGGGCAAGGAUUAGAUAUGAAAUCUGGCAGCAAAGAUUAAUAGCAAUUUAAUUUGUCAAAGUAAAAGUAUACGGCACAAAUUAGGAAUUUCAAAAUUUUGGGGUCGGCUACCUCUGUCACACCUUUUUUUUUUUUUUUUUAAAAAUUUUCUCGUACACUCCUACUAGAUAUGCCCAUCAUAAAUGCUUGUCAUUCGAUGUAAAAUACUUUUAAAAAGUGUCCAAAAAUCUAAAAAGAUUGUGUGAAUAUCAGUUUUCAAAAUAAAAAUAAAUAAUCAACUCAGACGAUCUCAUAAUAAACUCUGAUCGAUUACUUUUUUAUCUGUCAAUUAUCAUUUAAUUGUUAUUAUUAUUAUUAUUAUUUAGUUCAAAACAGUCAACUAUCAUCAUUCACCUCCUCGUCAAAAUUGAUCACCAUUAUCUACUCUUAUAUAGCAGACGAGAUAGCUCAAUUUAGCACAUAGAGAUAUGGACAGAAAGAUCAAUGCCGUGCAUGAUGAGACACUAAAACCUGGGGAACAAUCAAAUAUCUUGACCGUUUUGCACUUCUAAUAACAACUUUUAUGUUUGUACAGAAGAAAUUUCUGCCUAUGCGGAUGGUCUAAUUAAUCUACAUACUUCUGACUUCUAAUAGCUUUUCUUGAAUUAACAAAGUGGGAAUGUGAUAAGAUCUGAGAAAUAAUGCAGUCUGAAAAUUUGAAAGGUCAGCGACGCAAUUCCAUCUUUCUUUGGAAAAACAGUCACCUAAUUGCCUAAAUGGUGGAAAAUUUGACACUAAGUUUAUAUAUAAUAUAAACUUUACAAAAAUACUACGACAUGGUCCAGUUGUCAUAUCUUCUUCCCCUCGCUAUAAAAGGCUGGUUCCCGUUCUGCGUGCAAAAUUGAGCUCAAACUCAAAGUUUACUAUUCGAAUCAUUUUGAGACAGAAGAAAAUGGAAGCCAGGAUGAGAGUUCUCAUGAUUAUUAUUGGCAUGGUGGCAAGUUUAGCUUCUGUAGCUUAUGCAAUUCCGGGGACAGCCACUUUCUAUACACCCCCCUACAGUCGUAAGUGUUUCUUUCGAUUAUUACUCAAAGCACAAGACUAGCGAAUUUGAAAAGGGCAACAUCUUUUCUCAUUUUCAUUUUCUAUAUGGGAAUUUAACACUUUGGAAGAUAUACUAUUGAUUAGAUAUGAUACACAAACGAUCACAUAGAUAUCCAUCCAUAUGUUUAUGUGCUUAUAUUGGCAUGUAUGAAACACGAUAAAUUAACACCCUUUUCCACAGUUGACUAAAAACCCUAGCUUAGAAAGGGGUUAAUGAAAUUAUUUCCUGCAUGUUUCCAAGAAAUGAAAAGAAACAAAACUUCGUGUUUUCAAUAAAGAACUUUUAAUGUCACAACUGAAGGGAAAAAUUGUGGAUGAUUUUUAAAAAUGCUUAAAGAUAUAAAAUAAAAUUAGAAAUGUAACUAGCCUAUAAGCAUGCAAGACAACUUUCAUGAAAUCUGCAGCCUGUGAAAGCUGCAAGAUUGAAGCAUGCAUGACUUUAACCUGAAAACCCAUCUCACAUAUAUGAAAUCUCUUCUCGUCAUAAACCAGCAAAUGCUUGCAUUGGCGUCCGAGUCAAUGGGACGUUGCCGUUGAUAGCUGCUGCGAGUAACGUAAUAUGGGAUAACGGGGCAGCUUGUGGAAGAAACUAUAGAGUUACUUGCACUGGAACUAAUAGCGAAGGGAUCGCACAACCUUGUAGGGGUAGUGUUGUGGUUCAAAUAAUUGAUUACUGUCCUCCGGGUUGUCGAGCAACCUUUGAUCUCUCUCAAGAAGCAUUUGCUCUCAUUGCCGAUCCAAAUGCUGGAAAAGUCAACAUAGACUAUGAACAGUAAGGGUUUUAUCUUAGCAAAUUUUCAUUUUAAUUUCAGCAAUCUAAUUUAAUCAACUUUGUUGACUCGUAUGUUGCAGGGUUUGAACUUUGAGGUGGAUCAUGUUUGAAGAGCCUUCAAAAGGCCAAUAAUUUGUAUUUAGAGAAAUAAGUAGCUAGCUACUUUCAUAUACUAUAAAAUUUAUGCUUCAGAUACUACUUUAGCAUAAAUAUACCAAAAUGUAAGAUUACAUUUAGUAAACAGGUUUGAAAUUUUCUGGUGGCUUUGGGAAACCACAAAAUGAUACAAUUCCUGUGAUAUUUAAUUAAGGAGGACAAGAGGGUGGAAUAUGCAUCAAAUAAAUUAUUUAUAAAGGAAGGAUCACAAUGCAACCAAGUCAAGAUUAUAAGAAGCAAUCCAGGACGAGACCCUUAUGUUCUGGAAUGUAUCUUUUACCAUCUCCGAUCCAAGCUCCCUUAGCGGGAAAAAGCUUGGAACACAAUCCAUUACUUCGAAGCUGGAAUUUUCAACCCCAAUGAGUGCAUUGGUGUGUUAAGGAGAAACAUCUCGAAAGAGUUUAUCAAAAAGUUCAAUAUAUAAGUCAAAAACUCAAUUCUGAUAUAAAAUCUUAAAUUAUUAGGUAUUGGAUCCUUAGGUACAUAUUAAUCGUUCUUUCUUCAUCUCUUGAAUCAAUAUAAAAUAUAAUUUUUUAUUCAUGAACCUAACACAAUGUCAACGUCUUUCAAUGUUUUUGUCCGAUUAUUGUUUUUACGGAAAUAAAAGUCAUCCCACAUCAACAAGAUUUAUCCAUCCUUGAAAAUUUUGACAAUGUGCACUACUUCAUAGUAGCAACCAACUCGAUCUAUGUGGCUCUUGUCGAUGACAAUUUCUUUACUCCACGAAUUCUUGAUACCAAAAUCCUUCAUUAUCCAAAUAGAAACUUCAAAAUCCAAACUAUUAUCGCACAUGCUUAGGUAGUCUUUGUAGACUUCCAAGCUCGUUACAUCGUCUUGUGAUAUAACACUACUACUAGAGUGUCUUAAGAGUAUUCUCUUCUUGAGACUUUACAAAAUUCUAGUUGGCUAACCACUUGAAAAAAAUGUAAAGUCUUGCAAGAAGUUGACUAUUCAGAGAACCCGAGUAAAAUGAAUAUCAUCAUUAAUUAGACACAAAUUCAGGCGCGUCAUACUCAUACCAAGAGCAAAGUUUGGGCAUAACGUGAGCUAAUACUUGCCAUUGUUUGUGCCCGUCAAUAUAACAAGUAGUGCUAUAAGAUAUAUUUUUACCAAAAAAAAAAAAAAAAAGGUGCUAUAAGAUAUAUCGGUAAAAUAUUUUUAAAAAAUAUCACAAAGAAAAAAGAAACUUCAAAUAUUACUCGAGCGAGCAUACCAAUUCUACUUUAUUCAUUUAACAAUCUCGAUCCCAAAGUUCUGAGAGAAAGAAAGCUUGAGGGCAUAUUCCAUUACUCCUAUGCAAGGGUAGCUUUCUUCGACAUAGCCAACUCCAUUCAUCUGAUCAUAAGCGCAUUUGCAUUGGAUGAAAGUCUUGGUUAUAGUAAUCUGGAUAACGUGGUAUGGUAGAUUCAAGGAAUUCUUUCCUUAAAUUGGCUAUGAGUUACAGGUUAAACUCAGAAAAGCAAUUGAACAAGUUAGUCACCAUUCAAUCAAGUAUAUAUUUUGGAGAACACCGCCAGCCCACCCACACCCCCCUCCCCCACAAAAAAAAAAGGGAAAACUUUCCUCUACUCGUUGUCAUCUUCACAGCCAGUAACAACCUUUGAGAUGUAGGUAUAUCAAAAUUGAUUGUGUGACUCAUGAUGAUGGUCCCUUAGGGCUUGGCUUAUUUGAAACUAUUCUUCUUAGCAUUUCCUCCACAGCUAUAUCAAACGCAUCUUUGAGAUUGCCAGUUCUUCCUCCAGAAAAGCUGUACGAAAUCCUUGGAAUCAUGUUAAUUACCGUGUUCCUCAUCCUCUUGAUAGCUUCUCCACUAUAUCCCUCCAAUACUUUCCUUAUCGAAGUCCCAUUCCUUACCCGAUUCCUGUGUAUAAAAACCGAGAAAGACUUCAAUUCACUGGACAUAAACAACUCGUACUGACCCACAAUCGUUUCUUUCCAGAAAAAACUGGUAUCGAACCUGCCAGCAUACAAUCAAACGUGGACCUCCUCGUAUGCGAGUCACCUCUGGGCUGCAAACAGAAGUCUGAGCUCAGAAAUAUUUCAAGAGCCGCUGUAGAGCUGUCCAAGCAAGCUGUCUUGGCACAAUCUAUAGCUUUGCAGGAAUCAGAUUCGUUGUAACAGUGAUCCAGCAGCAAAGCCCUGAAGUCGUUCUUUAUAGAUCAACGCUUUCCCCCUACAAACGUGAAGAGGUUCGUCCGUUUUCUACCUCGCACAACUUCCUGCCAUUGCUUAAUUUCGGUCACGGUCCGGGGAUGAAAUCCGGUAGGAUAGGGUACGGUAACUUCCAUUGGAUCCCCUAGGCUUCUUUCUAUUGUGAAGCUGAACAUUUUUCUCAUCAAGGGCAUGAGGAGGAAGCUUGUCCCCCAGGCUUGAUCAUCACGGACCCGUUUCAACUUUCAAGUCCCAUGAAGUUCGACCCACAGUAAGGAAAUGAUCAGAACCGUUGGAUCUCGUCCAAUAAUGCUGGUUCUUGAUCCAUUCGAGGAAAGUGUAGAAGGGUGCAUCUCGUUCUUUGGCAGUGUAGCCACUGAAUAAAAUGUUGGAGGCCGCUAGUCCAGCAUAAAAUGGGACGUAGAAUGCCUUAGCGGAUUCCGGCUCCAUGGUUCUACACUUGUAGUUGAGAAUUCGACUGUGAAAUAUAAGUUCGCUCGCUAACAUCUGGGUCCGGUACCAAGCACGAGCAAGCUCAGGCGGGACAAUGCCGGCGAGAACGGUGGUGGCUUCCGGCCCAAAUCCACCGUCGGACAGCGCCUCGCAUUGGGAUUUACGAGAGUCUAUAAUGCAGUUUUCCAGCAGUUUCUUGUUGAAAAUUGGAGGAAGGUCGGCGUAUACGUAAACCCUCCCGUAUUCACAUUGCGCUUGGUCAACAACAUCAGGAUGCUGAUCAGGAGGAGGAGGAGCAAGCAGCUGUCGAGUAAUCUGUUGUCGUUGCUGCUGCUGCGGAUGGGUGGCUGAGGAUAAUUGGUCGUCUGCCGUCGUCGUCGUCGAAACUCUGGGAGCACGAGAGGUGGUAAUAGUGAAGACUAGGACGAUAAACCAAUUUGGAAGAGCAAGAUGAGAAGGGCCCAAGCAAAUUGGGAUGAGGGUUUGACAGAGGGAAGCAUUGGGAUAUCCAUAAAUACUGUUAAGUUGGGAUAUGGAUUUGGAAGAGGGAAGCAUUGGGAUCAAUUAGUGUAGUGGGUGAGACCAUUAGUGGAACAAUGAGGCUCGAGAUUGGUAGCUUCCGUUUUUUUUUUUUUUUAAAUGAUAUGGAUGGAUGAUACAUCGGUCGUCCAGUUCAUCUUCACUGUCGAAUCACAAAAGGUUGAUAUUUGCUAGAAUAUUACUGCAAAGAAAGGAGGCAUCUUCUUCCCUAAAAAGAGCAACAAAAAAGUAAUAUUAACUGCUAACUCACUACAAAAUUUUUUUUUUAAAAAUAAAGUGUUUCAACUUCUUGGGAGUUCAUCUAUGAAUGCAAUUCAAUUUCAAAUUCUUGGCAUUGUUAAAAGAAGAAGAAGAAAAAAAGUUGCAACUCCUUGGGGAAUUCAACCCUGGAGACAAAUUGAUGGGUCAGAUAGGCACGAGUCAUGAGUUUUGUGUUGACCUCGGCCUAAAAUAUUUGGAUUCAAAGAGUGUAAAACACUGCAUUUGGCCGAGAUUGGCUCAAAACUCACGUGGGGCUUGUUAGGGUGGUUAUUUGUAUUUAACCUUUGGUGAAAACUAUCACCUAUGAAACCCCAAGAUCUUUAUGGCGAUUAUUGAGAAAUAAUUAACACAUAAUUGCGGAAGCGUACUUGAAUCCAUAUUGAUAAACUUGAUACUUGAAUCCCUAGAGAUUUGGGGUGGCCUUCCAGGUCAACAGGUAUUCACCGAUCCUUUGAGAGAAGCCUUUAGUUUCUCUCUGGUAUCUUUCCUGACGAUGGGAUAUUAGGGAAGAGCUAUUUUGUGGUAUUAGGAAAUACGACAACUAAACGAUACCUGUGACCUGGGGACCAUAACCCUAUUUAUAGGUAACAUUCCUGUUACCUUUUGGAGCCCUAUUUCAGCCCAUCAUUGAAAUAGGAGCCCAUAAGUUUCUACACAUUAAAGGGCCAACAUCCUAUUAGAUACAUUAAAUCCAAACUAUAUUUGAUCACUUUAAUUGGGUUUAACCUUAAUUGACAGUUUGCAAUACAUAAUUAUUCACAUAUAAGUCCAAUGUUGGAUUAAGGAUCCAACAGGGCUUUCAUCGUAUUCUUCGGUAAGUAAAUUAGAGUACUUUUUUAAGUCGUGUAACUUGAAGUUGCCACUUGCCAGCCUGUUGAAUCAGAAUUUGCAGGAAUAGUACAGCAUCUAUGGCCAAAUUUUGAGGUAUGUCGAUUCCCUCGAAUGGCUUAAGCCAUUAACCAACCACAAUAACUGUAUAAUGGCAACUAAGAAGUACAAAAAAGAUUAAUAGCACAUGGUGCUAUAAAGUAAUGCAUUGGUUGUCUUCACGAUGGCAUAUGAUUCUGAGAAUUAGUCAGAACUAAUUAUUAGGGAGCUGCAAAUAAUUAUUUUCCAACAAAAAUCAAGGAUGACAAUGCCAUAUUUGAGAUAUCAAAAUGAAGUUCUUCUUCUUCUUCUCUUUAUUAUUAUUGCACUACCAGGGCAUAAAUUGCACUAGCAUUUAUCAUUGUUUCUGCCCAAUACAUGAUGUAGUACUACAAGAUGUAUUUUUACAAUAUCCCAAUGAAAGAGAAACUUCCAAAAGUUGAGCCAACAUCUGUACCAAGAUUCUAGUUUAUGCUUUCCAUCAUCUGGAUCCCAAAACUCUCGAGGGAAAGAAAGGUUGGAACGUAUUC
rnacentral:lncRNA from 1 species